rnacentral:lncRNA from 1 species
AGUCGUGGUGGCCUAGUGGGUAAAGGACCAACCUCAAGUAUGAGGGCGCGGGGUCGAUCCCAGGUCAGGCAAGUACCAAUGCAACUUUUCUAAGUUUGUAUGUACUUUCUAAGUAUAUCUUAGACACCAUUGACUGUGUUUCGGAUGGCACGUUAAACUGUAGGUCCCGGCUGUCAUUGAACAUCCUUGGCAGUCGUUACGGGUAGUCAGAAGCCAGUAAGUCUGACACCAGUCUAACCAAGGGGUAUCGGGUUGCCCGGGUAACUGGGUUGAGGAGGUCAGAUAGGCAGUCGCUUCUUGUAUAGCACUGGUACUCAGCUGAAUCCGGUUAGACUGGAAGCCGACCCCAACAUGAUUGGGAAAAAGGCUCGGAGGAUGAGGGCCCUCAAAAAGCUUUUCCUCUUCUUUCGAUUUUGAGCAAUAAUUUCGACGCCUUUCCAGCUGAGACCAGUUAAGAAAAUAAAAUGAUCAAGGUGAUUAAAUUAUUAGCAUCCUUUAAAGUGUAGGAAUAUUUAUACUUCAUCGAUACGGCACUAUUAAUAUAAUUCGUUUUUAAAUAAAAAAGAUAAUCCAUAUCCUGAA